rnacentral:tRNA from 1 species
GAGGGUACCACUCAGUGGUAGAGUGCAUGCUUAGCAUGCAAGAGGUCCUGGGUUCAAUCCCCAGUAACUUCA